AUGAACGCUGGCGGCGUGCCUAAUACAUGCAAGUCGAGCGAACGGACGAGAAGCUUGCUUCUCUGAUGUUAGCGGCGGACGGGUGAGUAACACGUGGAUAACCUACCUAUAAGACUGGGAUAACUUCGGGAAACCGGAGCUAAUACCGGAUAAUAUUUUGAACCGCAUGGUUCAAAAGUGAAAGACGGUCUUGCUGUCACUUAUAGAUGGAUCCGCGCUGCAUUAGCUAGUUGGUAAGGUAACGGCUUACCAAGGCAACGAUGCGUAGCCGACCUGAGAGGGUGAUCGGCCACACUGGAACUGAGACACGGUCCAGACCCCUACGGGAGGCAGCAGUAGGGAAUCUUCCGCAAUGGGCGAAAGCCUGACGGAGCAACGCCGCGUGAGUGAUGAAGGUCUUCGGAUCGUAAAACUCUGUUAUUAGGGAAGAACAUAUGUGUAAGUAACUGUGCACAUCUUGACGGUACCUAAUCAGAAAGCCACGGCUAACUACGUG
rnacentral:rRNA from 1 species